rnacentral:rRNA from 1 species
ACGCUCGACACCUACGGGAGGCAGCAGUGGGGAAUAUUGCACAAUGGGGGAAACCCUGAUGCAGCGACGCCGCGUGAGCGAAGAAGUAUUUCGGUAUGUAAAGCUCUAUCAGCAGGGAANAAAAUGACGGUACCUGACUAAGAAGCCCCGGCUAACUACGUGCCACAGCCGCGGUAAUCUGAGCGGGCUGGCAAGGC